rnacentral:tRNA from 1 species
GACCGCGUAGCUCAGUUGGCAGAGCAUUGGGCUAGCAUUCCAAAGGUCGUAGGUUCGAUUCCCGCCGUGGUCA